rnacentral:sRNA from 1 species
GAGUUCAAGGCCAGCCUGGUCUACAUAGUGAGUUCCAAACUAGUAAGGACUGUGUAUUGAGACCCAGUAUAGGCCCUUAAUUACAUUUGCAAAUUCUUUUCCUUCUGAUUGUUUCUCAGACUGACCUUUAAUUGGGAUUCUCCCGCUUGCUUCAGCCUCCUUAAUAUUUAAUAUCAUGUGUCAUGAUGGCCAACUACAUCGGCAAAAUUCUCUUACAAAAGGACAGGGGAUGAGACUCCUCAGUGGAAGAAUUCUAGUCUAGCUUGCAUGGGCUCGAUUCCUGGCACCUCAAGAUAAUAUUCUAGAAAAUAACCUCAAUGACGGUUAACUUGGGUCACUGGGAGCAGGGGGAAAUACGUGGGAAUGGGGAUCUCCGUGUCAUCUCAGAAUUGUAUUCAUUCCAGAGCAACAUGCUAAAUCAAAGGGCAUUGCCUUGCAGCCGCAGAGCUGGGAGAAAGAUGGGAUUAGGGGCACUGUGGCUUUUUCUACCCAGCAUUCAUUUCGCUCGAUAGGAACCCUCUCUCCUUCGCUCUCUCCCUCCUGUGCUUCCAUAGUUGCUAGCGUGGCACCCUCUCAGUUCAAGAGCCAAUCAGAGCACGGCAUCUCGGCAUCUCAAGACCACAACUCAGGAAUAGGCUUUCCUCUGUCUCCUGAAUGCAGGGAUUAAAGGCGUGCGCCACCAGGCCCCGCCCCGAUUAGAGUCUGGGAUGGUUAGUGGGCAUCUGUUGCUGAUCAGGACAGUCUGAGAAGAAAAAGCCAAGCAAACAGGGAAGGGAGGAUGGAAAAUCCUCAGAGGUGAUUUCAUUUUAUAGACAACGAAGGCAGAAGGUAACAGGUUCCUGAUUCUGCGGGAAGGGAGGAAGGCUGUGGUCAGCUUCGCAAGCAGAAGGCCGGAGGAACGGGGCACUUAUUCAACUUUUGGUUUCAAAAGGAACUUUUGGUGACCGCCACUAGGACAUAAUGCAGGUGUUAUGGAUCUGGGGUCAUUCAGAGACUCGCCAGUCUGACCAUGUUAGGGUUAGGGUUAAGAAGAGGCUUUUAUGCAGAUAGUGCUUCCAGGUCUACAUUUGCAAUUUGGGACUCCCUGUCGCAGCGCCCAGCCACCUCAGUCAGGGCUUUAUAAAGGCAAAGAAUACAAAGUUACGAUUUGUUCUGGCGCAAGCAGAGGGUCCUCUGGAGCAAAACAAGCUUGUUUAUAGAAUCCAAAAUAGCAGUUAAAAACAAUCUAAGCCUUAACAGCCCUUCACAUUUGGAAGUCUAAUUUUGCUUCAUAGUUUUCUUAAGCACAGACAUUUUAAACUUUCAGACAUAAAGUUAGCUGUCAUCAUAACAUUAACUGUCACAAAAGCAAGACUGAGCCAUGCAGUAGAGUUGACCAAAGUGAAAGAACCCUAUCAGUUCCAGAUUAUACCAGCACAGAUCUUGGCCUCAGGACCUGACCCUAUGACCACCUCCUCCUGGGGAGGGCCGAUACUCUAGGGAAGAGGAACUGGUUUGCUUGCGCAAUAGAGGGUGUGGUUUGUUUCUUUGUUUUGCUUUUGAGAGAGGGACUUGAUCUGGGCUGGCCUAACUGCGCGAUUUCCCUGACUCCACCUCCUAAUUGUAGGAACUGUAGAAGUGCAUCACCAUGGCAAGCACAGAGGGUUUUACAGUAGGAAAGCGAGGGAAGGGCUUCAAGGUUAUGCGGGAGCCUAAAUUCAGCCAGUCAGAGGAGGACUGUGGUGAGCACAGGUCUCCAUGUGGGAAGCAGGCGUUGGAUCAUGAGCUGCAUGUGCAGCUUUUACCCUACACAUGCACGAUCACGUCAGGGUUGGAAAACUUACCACCAAUUCCUGAGCUCAAAAUCCCACCAAUCCCCUUCCUAGACAUCUCUGCCCUGGAAAACUCCAUCCCCAAAAAACCCUGCAUAAAACUUGCUCCAUUCCCUGCUGCUUCUCCACUGAGGAGAGGCAGCUGCCCUCUUGUAUCUCUCCCAAUAAAUCUCUUGUGUGAGUAUGACAUUACGAUGUCCCUUGGUUACUAUCAGGAUACCUUUCCCCUCAAAGCUAUAACAUACCAUGGACCAAUGGUGGAUACUCCUGGGCAUUUAGGGGGCGGGGGCUACCAUCUGUCAUUGUCCACUCCUGAGCCCCAGGGAAAGUAGAAACCAGUCAUUGGUCAAUACAAGAGGCUUAGCAUGAGCUGAACAUGGUGGCACAUUCCUUUAAACACAGUGUUCAGAAGGCAGAGGUAAGGUAGGAUUCCUCUAAGUUCAAUGUGGGUCUACUACACAUGUGUCCUCUACAAGGAAGUAUUCCUAAGACUUAAAAAGUACACUUAGGAAGCCCAGGAAGAUCCUGAAAAUUACAAGAUUUAUAAAGUUUUGUUUUCAAGGUUACAAAAGCAACAAACAAUUGCUGGAGAGAGAGGCUACUCUCCAAACAGUCAAACUGCUUUCAAGCCAUGCCAGGAGCUCUAGUCAUGUGGCUUCUCUGAGUCAUCCCCAUGCUGGAGCAGCCUUUAUGGAAAUGUAGCUGCCUUUGAGUCACUCAUGCUCCUCCUGUCACUGGUACCCUUGUAGUGAGAAUUUUGGAUUCUUUAAAAACCCACUUUAUGAUCAGAAGCCUUCGCUCACCUCAUGCAAGGGUUCGAGAUCCACUGUGUAAGGGAGUAGCUUGAAGAAAAGAAAUGAUGACUGGGAGAGAGGGAAGGCGAGAACCACAGGAGUUGAGAGAGGAGGUCUGGGACCCUGUUAGGGCCAACGCCCACUGCAUGCUCCUGGGUCAGCCUCUCUGACCCUUGACUUUCAGGGAUCCUUAGGAAAGCAUGGGCGCUGCUGCUGGCCGGAUGUCGGUUGGGAUGGAAACACAGGGGAGGCAGAGCAUGGUCACUAUCCAGGUCACCAUCCAAUCCACUGGAGAAUGGAAAAGCUUUGCCGCAGGGCUGCGCUCUCAGCGAUUGCUACAGUUGUCUUCUGUUCCCUCUGAACAUCUGGUUUUCUUCCGUCCCCUGCUAUGGACCAGGGCAGAGAGACACCCUCUCUCUGUCUUGGCUUCUCUCCCAAUGGAGCUGGGCUGAGGGCUCACGGGAUGGGAAACACCAAGGACUUAUUCUUGGAUGUCUGAUACGCAUGAGCAUGCAGAGACUGAGUAACUUAGGCUGGCUUUGAACCCUCACCCCUCCUGCCAGCCCCUCUAAGCAGGGUUAUAGGCCUGAGCCAUACUCAGCUCUGUUUCUUUUUAGCAGAGACUUGGGGCAUGGCUUCUGAGAGGUUGCAGACCUACUCGUUCAAAAGGAAUCUGGAGGACCAGACCGUACCAACUCCCUCCACAUCAUGGUACCCUUACUUCCCCAGUCACCCUGCUUGACACAGUCAAGCCUGCCAAGAAGCUCUCCUUCCAGCUAAACAGCUCAACCUGAUGGAACCUUCAUGUGCCCAUAGUCAUGUGAUUACGAGCAGAGCACAUGAACUGUGGCUUCGGGGGACUGCGGAGCUAACUGGAUUCUGAUGUGAGAAGGCUAGACUGACUCCACGACAGGCUCCAAAUUGGCAGUUCAAGAGACUAGGCCUAAAUCUGUUUACAAGAACUGGGCAAGUCCAGGCCUCAGAAGCUGCCCCUCCACCUGGCC